UUGAUUUGUUUUAAAAUCGUUUUCUCAGACUGCACAGUCGACAGAAUUCCGGUACUUCGGCGGGCACGGAUCAGCCGCGAGGCCGACGUCUCCGCAGGGAGACGGCCCACCGAAGCUGCUUGACAGCUUAUGUUUAGACAAGGAUGGGAGCAGAGGGUUUUUUAUGCCCUCUGGACUCGGUAAUGAUCCUUCCGCAGGUUCACCUACGGAAA
rnacentral:misc_RNA from 1 species